UUGUUGUCUUAUUAACAGAAAACUAGUAAAUUAAACAGUAUUGGAUCAUAAAUGGAUAAGCUUAGAGAAGAUAGGGCCUUUCAAGCAAAGGAGAGUAAGGAAAGUGGGGUAUUCCAAGAAGUGAAGAAUCCUGUCGUGUGUGAAAUUCAAGAUAUCAAUCAACUAUUCCCACAAGAAGAAGCAUUUUCUUACAGGAUACCAUGGACGUGUAGCAAUAUAAAUCCAAAGGACAAAUGAGGCCAGUUACAAGUCACUCUCCUGCACAUUCAGUCUACAUUGUUUGCUCACAAAAGGAUUCAAACCAAUAUACAUAUUAAGGAAAAACUCUGCUUAGGAAAUUAGACUUAGAUGUCAUAUCCAAUACUCUUAUUACUCAAUAGUGUUUUUUUAAUGUACUGAAUAGGUUAAUUUUAAUAAAUUCACAAAUGUUUAAAAUUUUUGUUUGUUUAUUUUUUUUCUCCCUCCCUCGUAGGUUUUGAACUUUAGAGGUGAC